rnacentral:rRNA from 1 species
AUUGAACGCUGGCGGCAUGCCUAACACAUGCAAGUCGAACGAGUGGCGGACGGGUGAGUAAUGUCUGGGAAACUGCCCGAUGGAGGGGGAUAAUUACUGGAAACGGUAGCUAAUACCGCAUACCAUCCGAUGUCCCCAGAUGGGAUUAGCUAGUGGGUGGGGUAACGGCUCACCUAGGCGACGAUCCCUAGCUGGUCUGAGAGGAUGACCAGCCACACUGGAACUGAGACAAGGUCCAGACUCCUACGGGAGGCAGCAGUGGGGAAUAUUGCACAAGGGGCGAAAGCCUGAUGCAGACAUGCCGCGUGUAUGAAGAAGGCCUUCGGGUUGUAAAGUACUGUCAGCGGGGAGGCGUUACCCGCAGAAGAAGCACCGGCUAACUCCGUGCCAGCAGCCGCGGUAAUUC